GCAAGUCGAACGAUGGACAAAGGGUAGCAAUAUUCUUUGUUCGCAGUGGCGCAAGGGUGCUUAACACGUGGGUAAUUUGCCGCGAAGACUGGAACAACUCCGAGAAAUCGGGGCUAAUGCCGGAUGUGGCUGCGGGGAGGCAUCUCCCCGUCUCCAAAGCUGGGGACCGCAAGGCCUGGCACUUCGUGAUAAACCCGCGGCCUAUCAGCUAGUUGGCGAGGUAACGGCUCACCAAGGCUAAGACGGGUAGCUGGUCUGAGAGGACGACCAGCCACACUGGAACUGAGACACGGUCCAGACACCUACGGGUGGCAGCAGUCGAGAAUUUUUCACAAUGGGCGAAAGCCUGAUGGAGCGACGCCGCGUGGGGGAUGAAUGGCUUCGGCCCGUAAACCCCUGUCAUUCGCGAGCAAUUCUGUCGGCCUAACACGCUGGCAGUUGAUAGUAGCGGAAGAGGAAGGGACGGCUAACUCUGUGCCAGCAGCCGCGGUAAUACAGAGGUCCCAAGCGUUGUUCGGAUUCACUGGGCGUAAAGGGUGCGUAGGCGGUCAGGUAAGUCUAAUGUGAAAUCUCCGGGCUUAACCCGGAAACUGCAUCGGAUACUAUCUGGCUAGAGGAUUGGAGGGGGGACUGGAAUUCUCGGUGUAGCAGUGAAAUGCGUAGAUAUCGAGAGGAACACCAGUGGCGAAGGCGAGUCCCUGGACAAUUCCUGACGCUGAGGCACGAAAGCUA
rnacentral:rRNA from 1 species